UGUAUGCAUUCUAGUGAGGAGUUUGAGAUUAAAAGUGCUAACCUACCAUCAGCUGAGGGUAUGUGGCAAGUUUCUGUCCAAUGAGAGCAGCAUUUCCUCCAACAUAUAGCUAAUUAGUGACAGAGAGCGAGGGAAAGAGAGAGGAAGAGAUAAAAAAUGAGUUGAGGUUUAUCAGUGAGUCUGAUAGAAAAUGCCAUCAUAAUAACCACAAUUGCACCAAGAGCUAGCCCAGCAGUGAAAUUAUUAAUUACCGUUGAUCACGUAGAAUUAAAUUUGACACAGACACUCAAACCUCUCUGGAUGGAACCUUUAUUCAAAAGGAAAAGUGCUUCGUCUUCAGGGGAGUGAAGCCAAUUACAGAUGCCAAAAAUACAUGUGAUAUCAAACUUUCAGGGUGCCCUUCUUUGUGGGGCAUUGGAUAACCUCCAUGGUCUUUGUGGUUGAAGCUGUGUUGAAAUUCACUGCUCGACUGAGAGACCUUACAGACAAUUGUAUGUGUGGGGCACAGCAAUGAGGUAGUCAUUCAACAAUCAUGUUAAACACUUAUUGCACACAGAGUGAGUCCAUGCAAAUUAUUAUGUGACUUGUUAAGCAAAUAUUUACUCCUGAACUUAUUUAGGCUUGCCAUAACAAAAUGGUUCAAUUCAAUCCAUUUUAAAUUCAGGCUGUAACACAACAAAAUGUGAAGAAAGUCAAGGAGUGUGAAUACUUUCUGAAGGCACUGUAUGCUGCAGUGUUACCCAGAGUAGAGGGUUCAGGUAUAUGCCCAUUUUCCGUGAAUACAUAAUGGUCCAUGUUAGAAAAGACACUACUUAGUAACCAAGUCAUUAUUACUUGACCCCCCCACAACAACAGCUUCCCAAGCUCCGAGUGUUGCAGCCCCCGACACCUCUCCAUAACCUGUAUAUGUAUGUGUGUACAGUACCUUCAGAAAGUAUUCAGACCCUUUGACCUUUUCACCAUUUUGUUAAGUUACAGCCAUAUUCUAAAAUGGGUAAAUUCCUUUUUUUCUUCAUCAAUCUACACACAAUACUCCAUAAUGACAAAACAGAUUUUUAGAAAUUAUUAUUAGGUCGAAAGGAAUUGUCUGUAGAGCCCAGAGACAGGAUUGUGUUGAGGCACAGAUCUGGGGAAGGGUAACCAAAAUAUUUCUGCACAAUUGAAGAUCCCCAAGAACACAGUGGGCUCCAUCAUUCUUAAAUGGAAUACGUUUUUUUGGAAGAAGUCUUUUUAGGAGACAAAUCAAGUUGUAAACUUCCUCACAAGAACAGAGAGGUGCGGACAAGCCCCUCGAAGGGUAUAACCUUAGAAUACACCUUGAGAUAUCACUGAGGUGUCACUGAGAUUGCAACACCUGGAAGGGAAUCUCCAAAACACUCUUCUGAUGGUUAACACACAUGCUGCUAAUAAAUAGAAUCCUCCAUUCAGAAGGAAAGGUAUUAGAAGUCAUGAACCAUGAUCACACCGCGUACGACUGGUUCAGUGCUUAUAGAGUACUUCCGUCGUGAGGUUAGCUCCUCUGUGGAUAGCAUAGCUAUGAAAUAGACUCCUUCAUACCUAUUGCCACUACAGUGGUGUAAGACACCUUGACUAGUAGUAAAACCACUACAGGUCCCCUUGGCAUAAGGCUUGAGGUCGGCACCGAUUCUUACUGACACACAGUCAUUGACAUGGAAAUUCUGCCCAGGUUGCAGCCUUCCAGGAUACUUGGUUUUCUUGCCCUUGACAUGUGCAUAAAGCAUAAACACACAUGCCCAAUGUAACAUUUAAUGAGGAUUUAUACUAGGAUCACUUAAAGGUCUGAGCAAAAUAACGGUUUUGGUAGUUGAUAAUAGACCCUGAAGGCUUUGACUACAGCUAUAUUAAUCGCCAGUUUCUCCCCAGAGGUCCAUAGGUCAUCCUUGUAGACUGUACGAAGCUAGGUCAUUACAGCUGUAGACUUAUCAUGUAGUUAUCAACUUAGGAUAGUGCCCUAAGCAACACACCGCUAAUUAGGAUCGCCCUAGAUAUACAAAAUGCCAUGAUCGAGUCAUUCAGCCAAGACUGUGGACGUAUAUAGAAGAGAUGACUAAAGGUGUAGUAACUAUAUUUUUUAUAUAUAUAUAUAUAUAUUUUUACACUUAGGAAGUGAUAAGACCACCAGUUAGUGCCACAACGCUUCUCAUUUGGGGGAGGAAUGUAAUGAUGUAUUGCGUGAGUGUUGUGCAUUAUUAAUGUCUGUCUAAGUUACUGCCUAGAUCCACCAACCUGGACAACCGGAUGACGGAUCCAGAACGAUGAUCCACAACCAGGACAUCCCAUGGCCAUUCUUGUGGGGGUCUACAGCUUGCAGAAAUCCUACCAGGUUAAACCAUCAGAUGGGGACUCUCAUGAUGAUCCACAAACCAGGACACCCUGUGGUCAUUCUUGUGGUGGGUUGCAACUUGCAGAAUCCUUCCAAGAUUGAAUCCACCAGAGGGGGACUGUCGUGACUGUCCUGUGAGGCUCCCACAGAGGGGGGAGGAGGGAACUGGUGGGGGUUAACACCUCACACCCUGUUGUAAAUCAAGGACAGAAUACUCAGACAUCCCUCUUCAAAUUCGCCCAAGGAAUGUGCUUAGUUUUAAAGACAGAAUAACACAAUACAAAAUGUACAAGGGCUACUUAUAUGCAGGCAAAGGUGUUUGGGUGUAAUCAUGUUGGCCAUAUUGGAUUCAGAAUAAAAUGUGUUUACACUAA